ACUAAGUUAAAAUUUUAAGGGGGAUUAGACUUGGUACUAAGAUGAAGAUCAGUGUAAAUGCCAAAUUGAUUUGCCCUGAAGGCAGGUUGACAUCUAUCACACCCACUGAGAAGAGACUUAAGACCUGGACGGUGACAGGGGGCCAAGAUUUAUGUUGAGAGUGGGGGAAGGGUAGAGAGGCCAGUGAAAGAAGGAAACACCAGAGAAGAGCCAGGAGAGGGCAAAGAGAUAAUGAUUAAAAGCUGACCUGGAAAUUUAGUUUGCUGUUCCACUAGCAGACUGUAGUUUGUUGUCGGAAAGUUAAGUCCUCAGGCUUCAUUCAGUUCUAGAUUUCAGCAAAAAUAAAUAGUUCCCGGCUUUCAACUGGUGGAAGAGUUAUUUUCUAAGCUCAAAAAGAGAAAAAACUGGAAAAUGACAUCGUUUGGGUACUUUUCUAGUAGAAAUACUAAAAUACGAGAAAUCUGAGUAAUAGCACACAAAAAAGAAUAUCUUUAAGGCACAUAGCAAAGGUAUUAUUUAGUCAAUCUGAAAUUUACAAUCUGGCUGCAUAAUGCCCGAAGUUUUGAAGUGAUAAAAAUACAUUAUUCUUCAGUUAUUUCCAGUAACAAGAGAAAAAGCCGUGCCUGGGUUCUAAUUAGCAAGUGCUGAUUCAGACCUUCAGUGAUUUUCUUUUCUUCCGAUAAAGGAUGAAGAAAUGUUGAAUCUAAAAAACCAAAUAAAUUCUUUUACGGAGUUGGGCGGGGUGGGGGGUGGGGGCGAUUGGUUUUUGUUUUUCAUAUUACUUCUGACCCCAGUCAACAGUAGGGAAAAGAGAAUAGAAGCCAAGAGAAAACAAAGUUACUGGAGCGUUAUAUAAAUAUUUGAUAUUCUGGAUAGAAGGGCUUGAAGUUCUCCCAAGGCCUACGGACUUUGCUUUUUAAAUAAAAGUUUUAAGAGAGAUUUUUUUUUUCACAUUUUAUUGCAACUUUACAAAUUGUUUUAAAGACAUUUCCAACAAAUGGAAAGAGAAGCCACGCUGGAAAAUGUGAAGAAUUCCAGAGAUAUGGAUACUUUCAGUUUCCUUUCAAACUUCUUUUCAAAAAUACUCAUUCACCUGCAGCCCAAAUUCUCCAUGUAUUUUGUCAGGUAUUGUUUAUGAACUACAAGCUGGGCAAUUACUUCUUCUGCUUCACGAGACCUCUUGAACUCGAAACAGCCCUUUAAGGCCCAUCCGGUGCUUGCCUCUGGGCCGGCCGGAGAACUAACAGCACAUCUUCCUCGAAAGCCACCGGGCAAAUGCCCUGGCCUUUCUCCUCCCGAGGGUCACUGCCACCCCAAAACGGUUUUUCCCACGGCAACAGUGAAACGGUGUGGGUGAUCCCAAGAUGGAGGAUAUGUAUCUUUGAAAGUCAAACCUCAACAAUAAAAACAAACAAAAAACGUAGAGGAGAUACGGCAUGGUCUUGUCUCCCCCUUCUUGCCCAUUCUAGACAGCUUUAUCAGCCUGUUUAUUGACAGCACCCAAAUAAAUCAGAUUUUUUUUAAGCCUUAUGUUUAUGAAGUGCUUUUCUCAGUUCCUCACCUCUCUAUCCACCCCCUUCCAAUUCCUAAUUCAUUACACAGAGUCUGAAGAGUACUUGGCUUGUAGGGAGUAGUCAAUAAAUGUUGAUGACGAUAACUCUUGUCGUUAUCCAGAGACAGAAGACUUACGUAUUUAAAUAUCAACCUAUCUUAUCAAUGAUUUCUGGAGAAAAUCUAGACUGGUUUCAAAUUGUUCGCAUGUAGAACAUGUGUUUGUUUUUAAGCCCCAGUGUGGCAUCUCUUUAGCUUAGCUGUAUAAAAAAGCUUUGCUCGCCAGGUGAAUGCCACGGGGAGAAAAUGGCAGGGAACUAUUCUAGAUUAGAAGAACUCAAAGAGAUACAACAACAAAAGGCAACGUAACUUGAUUCAUUCCAGGUCCAGAAAUAAAAAGCUACGUGAGACACGGUGGAAGCAAUCAGGGAAAUUCGCACAUGGGCUGGGUAUGGACGAUAUUACAGAAUUAUUAAUUUUAUGAGGUACUAUAAUGGUAUUGCAGCUGCAGUGGAGGAUGUCUCGAUUCUUAGAAGCUGCAGACUGAAACAUUUAGGGGUAAAGUACUGGGAUAUCUGCAACUUCUUUUCAAAUGGUUCAGCAAAAUUUAUAUAUUUAAAUACAGAGAGAAAGCAAAUGUGGUCCAAUGGUAACAACUAGCAAAUCCAAGUGAAGAGUUUAUAGAUGUUCGUUGUAUUGUACUUCAACUUUUCUGUAAAUGCCAAAUUUUUUAAAUACAAAGUUGAGAAUAGAAAACAACAAAAAAUAUAGUUUUACUGAAGAAAAUGCCACACUCUUCUUUAAAUAUUUUACUGUAAUAACACACUAUGCCUUGGUAUUAUUUAUUUACACUUUAUAAAAAGCAACUUAUUCAACAUAGUUACUCAAUCUGAAAUUAACUACUUUAAAUAUAUCACUUAACUUUCGGUGCUAAUAAUGAAUCUCUACCUUAAAUAUAAAUCAAAAUAGCUCAACACCUAACUUGACAUUACAAGCAACGAGAUGCCAGGUAUAAGGAUCAUGAGUUAAUAUCUCAAUUAUGCUAAAACUUUCAAUAAUUUUUUUCAUUAAUUCUUCUUUGUUUUUCUUCUUUGUCUAGAAUAGUCUGUUUUAAGCUCAAGGUAGCAUCUUGGAAUCCAGGAUUUAAGUCUAAUACCUUCUUGAAAUCUUCCAAAGCAUCAUCAAAGUAUCCUGUACCAGAACGCAAAAAAUGAAAAAUAUCUACACUGGAACACCACGCUGAAGAAAGGAAAUGCGAAGAAAUAAAGCAGUGGAAUCAGUUUUUGUUUAAUCCCGUUAUCUGCGUUGUAGGGAGGUAGCGCUACCAGCACAUACCAGCAGGGCAAAGACGACAUGCUGAGCAAGGAGGAAAAGCCAGCCUAAAGUUCCAGUCUGCAACAGACAUACGGCAGAUUGAAUCAUCAGUGUUACUCUCAAAUUUUUAAGUGAUCCCCCCCAAAAUGAGAUUUCUAAUCAUUUUUCACCAAUAAAGAAAUACACGUUGA